rnacentral:sRNA from 1 species
AGGAGUACCCGCCAACAAGCGGGACCGAGCAGGAAUCCGUAUCUGGGAACAGGUGAGAGAGGAUGUGUGCUGGGCCUUGGAGGAAGGGGGCCGAGACCGGGCCUUACUUCUGUAACGAUACUGUGAGGCAUCGGAAGGCCAGCCUGUUGUGUCCGUUUUGAAGGUCGGUGGGCUAGACUGGCUGGCCUUCUAGGGGUGUGGAGACUUCCCAACUCUGCCCUUGUGCUUUCCUGGAAUCCCCAAUAUGCCCGGACCCCGAUUUACUCCUUUGCUGCGAGCCCUUCUCUCCCGUCUAGAGUUGCUCCGAGCCUAUCUGCUCAGUCCUAGCGAUUCCUGUGGGGCUUGGGACGCGCGGUUCAAGCACCCCGGACCAUAUGGACGCAGCACCCAUGGGUUCUCGCUCCAAUGCUUCUUUCCUCCUUGGGGCGUAACUCAGACCCUGGGCACCCCUCUCCACUGCCCAGGGGAGACCUGGGUUCUAGAUUUGGCUCUGCCUCUACUAUCUUCCUACCUCCUAGAGCCUCAGUUUGGCUUGUGUAAAAUAGGAUGACUUAAGGGUCCUUUCAGCCCCUAAUCCUGGGGUGCUUCACUCUGUACCGCCUCCUUACCCAGCCUUGUGCACGCCAUCUUGAAGGCACUGAGUUCUAGCCUGUUUAUUGUAAGUGGUGAUUAGUUGGGUCUCAGUCACCCAGCCAUACUUUUUUGUUCCCUGCGUAUCCUUCCUGUAAUUGUCCCCAAGCACAUUCCACAAGAGGGAGGGGCACUCUGGGCUAAGGCUGGGGUGGGAGUUAUCUGGGGAGCUGCCACCAUGCCUCUGCCUUUGGUGCUUGCCCCUGCAGGGAGUGCUUAGUGCCCCCUCCCUAUGCCACUCCCAGGAUGCCCCUGUCCCGCUGGUUGAGAUCUGUGGGGGUCUUCCUGCUGCCAGCCCCCUACUGGGCACCCCGGGAGAGGUGGCUGGGUUCCCUACGGCGGCCCUCCCUGGUGCACGGGUACCCAGUCCUGGCCUGGCACAGUGCCCGCUGCUGGUGCCAAGCGUGGACAGAGGAACCUCGGUGAGUGUGGUUGGGGUGAGGGGCCUUGGGGAGGGGAGCAGCUGAUCAGGUUUCUGACUUGUUUUUCUUCUACUUAGAGCCCUUUGCUCCUCCCUCAGAAUGAACGGAGACCAGAAUUCAGAUGUUUAUGCCCAAGAAAAGCAGGAUUUCGUUCAGCACUUCUCCCAGAUCGUUAGGGUGCUGACUGAGGAUGAGAUGGGGCACCCAGAGAUAGGAGAUGCUAUUGCCCGGCUCAAGGAGGUCCUGGAGUACAAUGCCAUUGGAGGCAAGUAUAACCGGGGUUUGACGGUGGUAGUAGCAUUCCGGGAGCUGGUGGAGCCAAGGAAACAGGAUGCUGAUAGUCUCCAGCGGGCCUGGACUGUGGGCUGGUGUGUGGAACUGGUGAGAGGGGUAGGGCAAGGGAGAAGAAGUUUCCUGCAAUGGUGGUGACUUGGGUGGGAAGGGGAGGGAUGGGCCUGAAACUUAUUUCUGGGUUGUGUUUGUGUUUCUUUGUCUCUAGUGUGCUACGGCCAAAUUUAGAGUGAAUCACUCCAAGGGUUAACUAAUGUGGGGAGCCUCUUUUGGCAUUAGGUAUGAAGAUGGCUGUAGAUAGUUGUAGACAGUGUGGACUGGGGCCUCGAGACUGGGCAGAGAGGUGUCAGCUCUUUCCUCUGAGCAGAGGAUGGCUAUAAAAGUGACAGAGGAGGCUGGGCGUGGUGGCUGACACCUGCAAUCCCAGCACUUUGGGAGGCCAAGGGGGGAGGAUCACCUGAGUUCCGGAGUUCGAGACCAGCCUGACCAACAUGGAGAAACCCCAUCUCUACUCAAAAUACAAAGUUAGCUGGAUGUGGUGGCGCAUGCCUGUAAUCCCAGCUACUCGGGAGGCUGAGGCAGGAGAAUCGCUUGAACCUGGGAGGCAGAGGUUGCGAUGAGCUGAGAUUGCACCAUUGCACUCCAGCCUGGGCAACAACAGCGAAACUCCAUCUC